GCACUACUGAGGAGUCCCACAAGAGGACGAAAUGACCAUCCAGUGC
rnacentral:hammerhead_ribozyme from 1 species